rnacentral:rRNA from 1 species
UACGUAGGGAGCAAGCGUUGUCCGGAAUCAUUGGGCGUAAAGCGCGCGUAGGUGGCCUCAUAAGUCCGUUGUGAAAGUCAAAGGCUCAACCUUUGAAAGCCGAUGGAUACUGUGAGACUAGAGUACGGAAGAGGCGAGUGGAAUUCCUGGUGUAGCGGUGGAAUGCGCAGAUAUCAGGAGGAACACCAAUAGCGAAGGCAGCUCGCUGGGACGUUACUGACACUGAGGAGCGAAAGCGUGGGUAGCAAACAGG